UGAGCAGCUAACACUAGGGGGCAGUCCUGCCAGGUCGAGGGACCCAGUGGCCUCUACUGGGCCUGACCUCUCACCCACACGCCCUGGAGAACAGACCCUGCAAACAGCUGGGGCCUGAAGGAGGAUCUGAUGAGCCAAGAGCCAGACAAGAGGAGAGAAGAGAAAAGUGAGAAGCCCUGGGCACUCUAUUACUCCCAUUUGACAGAUGAGAACACUGAGGCUCAGGGAGAGGUGAUCUGAGCUAGGGUUUGAACCCAGGUUUCCGUGACUCUGGGGCCUUCCCUGGGCUGAGGAUAGCUCUGUGACUGUUGUCUGUCUGCUAUGCCCCCUGGAAUCCUGAGAUGGGGUUCUCAUCCUUGAGGAAAGGCUGGUGUGGGAACUUCUGCCCACCCCUGGGAGCCUCAGCAUCCCCAUCUGGAAAAUGGGAGCCUCUGUGAGAUCCUCCACGUACGGAAGGGGGACCGGCCGGCAGCGAAGCGAGGUCUCGCCAGAGGGCGCUGACGGCACGCGGGCCGCUCAACCGCGGCCGCCAGCACCGCCCACGCCUCUCCCAAGCAGCCGGGCCAGAGGCGCCCC